rnacentral:SRP_RNA from 1 species
GCCGGGCGCAGUGGCGCAUGCCUGUAAUCAGGAGGCUGAGGCUGGAGGAUCUCUUGAGUCCAGAAGUUCUGGGCUGUAGUGCACUAUGCCAAUUGGGUGUCCGAACUAAGUUUGGCAUCAAUAUGGUGACCUCCCAGGAGUGGGGAACCACCAGGUUGCCUAAGGAGGGGUGAACCGGUCCAGGUCGGAAAUGGAGCAGGUCAAAACUCCCGUGCUGAUCAGUAGUGGGAUUGCGCCUGUGAUAGCCACUGCACUCCAGCCUGGGCAACAUAGUGAGACCCCGUCUCU